GAUGAAGAACGUAGUGAAAUGCGAUACUUGGUGUGAAUUGCAGAAUCCCGUGAACCAUCGAGUCUUUGAACGCAAGUUGCGCCCGAAGCCAUUAGGCCGAGGGCACGCCUGCCUGGGCGUCACACGUCGUUGCCCCCCCAUCUACUCCUUCGGGAUUGCGGGGGGCGGAUGUUGGCCUCCCGUGCGCCUCGCCGCGCGGUUGGCAUAAAUGCCAAGUCCUCGGCGACGCACGCCACGACAAUCGGUGGUUGCGAAACCUCGGUUGCCCGUCGUGUGCGGUCGUCGCGCAUCGAGGGCUCGAAAAAAUUGCCGGGUUCCGGCUCGGCUUUCAACGCGACCCCAGGUCAGGCGGGGUUACCCGCUGAAUUUAAGCAUAUCAAUAAGCGGAGGA
rnacentral:misc_RNA from 1 species